UUUUUCGGGGCAACAGUAAUACUUGCUUUGAUAAACUAACUACUCUCUUUCAUCCAAAUGACCUGUAUGCUGAAGUUCUUACAUUUCUGCUUUCUUGUUUGUAUGGGUUACUUAGGCCACGCAUUACUUUGUUUUUGUGUUUUUGGACACAUUUAUCACUUUCCAGUCCAAGCACAUGUCAGACUGAUGUACUGACACUUCCUACAUUCAACAGAAUGCAAUGUUUAUUACCAUCUUACAUGUUAAUGGCAGAUUCAUGCUUUUACUAUGCAAAAAAGAUUUUUAAACAGAUAUUCAUUUAGAUUUUGGUGUUGGUCAAUUUAAAAUAAAAUCCUGGCAAGCAUCUUCUGCCAUCAGGAGAUGAAAUUAAAAUCUUACUAACAGAUGCAUGUCCAGAUAUGGACUGAAAUAGUUCAUCCAUCCAAAUGAAAAAUAAUACCAUUGGCAGAUUUUUUAUUGGCUAAGCUCACUGCACAUAAACUGGAAUCAUAUUAUGGAAUGAUAUUAUGACUCUUAAAGUUAUAAACAGCCUGUUCUUAUAUGGAAUAAUUAUAAAUAUAGCACAGCAAGGGCUGCUGUUGCGCAAUUAGGUCAUGAAUCCAGUCAAUAGUGUAGACUUUAAUCACACACAUUAUGACUUCAGACGGGAUCUCACUGCAAAUAAAGGAUCAUCAUCUUCUGCUGAACCUUGCAAAGAUGGAACUGCUUGUCAUAUCAACUGAACCUACGAUUCACCAUUACACCUUCCAGGACAGCCAAAAACCUGGGAGAUGAUCAGCUUAGCUUCACGGAGCAUGUUGCCAACAACACUCGCUUUUGUAGAUUCAUCCUCUACAACAUUAGGAAAUGUAGAAGUUUCUUACCUUCCCAAUGUCACGGCUCUUGGCUCUCAGCUUAUUGACCUGGGACUCUGCAAUGUCAGCGCGCUCCUGAGCCUCCUCCAUCUCAUGCUGCACCUUCCUGUACCUUGACAGAUCAGGUGUCUCCAUCACUGAUCCUGGAGGGCUACCGUCCUGCAUACUUCAAUUCCAACCCUGCUCAAACACAUCUCACUGCAAUUAUCAAGCAACCUUGAACUAGUUGUAUUAAGGUACUAGGUGUAUUAACUAUCCUACUGAUUGGAAUGUAAGAGCAGACUGAUUGCUCUACAAGGACAAAAGUGCUACCAAUUAUUGUGUUUUUGUUAGCAAUGGUUACCUCCAAGGAAAGAUGUGCAGCCAUCAUCCCUUUGCAUCACAUUGGCUCACAUGCAAGUGAGGUUGCUAAAAAGAAUAUUGCACCUGAAAGAACCAUUUACUGGAUCAACAAGAACUUCAAGAAGAGAGGUUCGGCUGCAACGAAGGCUUCAGAACGUCCCAAAGUGUCCAGAAAGCACCAGGACCGUCUUCUCCUGAUGGAAUCGUGUUAUCACCAGUACAGAGCUUGCUUGGUAUUGGUAGCAGGUUUGUGUAAGUGCAUUUGCAUGCACAGUGAGGUGAAGACUUGGAGUCAAGAAGGGCAGCAAAGAAGCCACUUCUCUCCAAAUAAAUAACAAUCAAGGACAGACUUAAAUUCUACAGGAAGUACAAGGAUUGAACAGCGUAUGGUGUAAAGUGAAGCUCCCUUUUAACUGUUUGGAAAAUCAGGAAAAUCGGUUGUUGGGAGAAGAAAAAGUGAACUGUACCAUGAGUCCUGUGUCGUGCCAACAGCGAAGCAUUCUGAGUGGGCUCUCUUAUAAUUCUGCCCUAAAACACUGCCAUGAGUAAAGAAUUCUAUCAAAACAUCCUGCAUGAGCAACUUCUCCCAAUGAUCCAGGAGCAAUUUGGCGAUGAUCUGUGCACUUUCCAGCAUGGAACACAAUGUCACAAGGGAAGAGUGAUAAUGAAGAUCGUUACAUAAAAAUGUUAAAUCCAUGGUUAGGCAACUCAAUGAAUCUCAAUCCUAUAGAGAACCUGUGGUCAAUCCUGAAAAGGGAACCAAAGCUGAUGUGAAUUUAAGAUUUCUGAAAGAGAAAAAGCAGGCUCACUGUGAAUCCUCAGGAGUCAGGAACUGCUUUUAUAUAGUGUCAUAACUGAGCGCUCAGCAGAACUGUAAAGCUGCAUAUGGUCAUGUUGUUUAACAUGCUCUCCCAGUGGAAAACAGUGUGAUGUUCUCAUUUACUGAUCUUAAUGCUGCAUGCCAGUGAUAUAAAUGUUCGUAAUUCAUUAUUUUUUAUAAACUUUUAAAUGUACAUAAUUUCAAAAUCUUAAGACAUUGUAAGUUAAGAAAAAUAACAGGUGUUUGGAUAACACUUAUAUACUGUAUAUGCCACAAAUCACAUGUUCUAUUUUUAUUAGGUUGUAGUGUUCUUUAAAACAAUUUAAGGAUUGAAAUUUUAUUUUCAUCUAAAAAGCUUUUCUGCUUGAUACAUUUAUUUUAUUGUGAUUUAUUUACCAUCCCAGUGUUUUCAUCCUGCGGAUUGUAUGGUUCAUUGCUGCAUAUCAGUCAUAUUCAGUUUUUAUCCAGAAAAAAGGUUAGUUUCUUCUUAUUAUUCUACUAUUUUUGUUGCUUAACAAGAUGAUUUUCAACAUUUUGUUUAAAAAGAAUGACAUACUAAUAAACUAAAAUGCUUUUAAGGGUAAAUUUGG